GGGGAAUAUUGCACAAUGGGCGCAAGCCUGAUGCAGCCAUGCCGCGUGUGUGAAGAAGGCCUUCGGGUUGUAAAGCACUUUCAGCGGGGAGGAAGGCGUUAAGGUUAAUAACCUUGGCGAUUGACGUUACCCGCAGAAGAAGCACCGGCUAACUCCGUGCCAGCAGCCGCGGUAAUACGGAGG
rnacentral:rRNA from 1 species